rnacentral:rRNA from 1 species
CUAGCAUAUCAAUAAGCGGAGGAAAAGAAACCAACCGGGAUUGCCCUAGUAACGGCGAGUGAAGCGGCAAGAGCUCAAAUUUGAAAGCUGGCUCCUUCGGGGUCCGCAUUGUAAUUUGCAGAGGAUGCUUCGGGAGCGGUCCCCAUCUAAGUGCCCUGGAACGGGCCGUCAUAGAGGGUGAGAAUCCCGUAUGGGAUGGGGUGCCCGCGCCCGUGUGAAGCUCCUUCGACGAGUCGAGUUGUUUGGGAAUGCAGCUCUAAUUGGGUGGUAAAUUUCAUCUAAAGCUAAAUAUUGGCCGGAGACCGAUAGCGCACAAGUAGAGUGAUCGAAAGAUGAAAAGCACUUUGAAAAGAGAGUUAAACAGCACGUGAAAUUGUUGAAAGGGAAGCGCUUGCGAUCAGACUCGCUCGCGGGGUUCAGCCGGCCUUCGGGCCGGUGUACUUCCCCGCGGGCGGGCCAGCGUCGGUUUGGGCGGCCGGUCAAAGGCCCCUGGAAUGUAACGCCUCUCGGGGCGUCUUAUAGCCAGGGGUGCCAUGCGGCCUGCCCGGACCGAGGAACGCGCUUCGGCUCGGACGCUGGCAUAAUGGUCGUAAGCGACCCGUCUUGAAACACGGACCAAGGAGUCUAACAUCUACGCGAGUGUUCGGGUGUCAAACCCGUGCGCGCAGUGAAAGCGAACGGAGGUGGGAACCCCUCGGGGUGCACCAUCGACCGAUCCUGAUGUCUUCGGAUGGAUUUGAGUAAGAGCGUAGCUGUUGGGACCCGAAAGAUGGUGAACUAUGCCUGAAUAGGGCGAAGCCAGAGGAAACUCUGGUGGAGGCUCGCAGCGGUUCUGACGUGCAAAUCGAUCGUCAAAUUUGGGUAUAGGGGCGAAAGACUAAUCGAACCAUCUAGUAGCUGGUUCCUGCCGA